rnacentral:pre_miRNA from 1 species
AUACUACUCCCUCCGUCCGGAAAUACUCAUCGGAGAAAUGGAUGUAUCUAGAUGUAUUUUAGUUCUAGAUACAUUCAUUUUUAUGCAUUUCUUCGACAAGUAUUUCCGGACAGAGGGAGUAUUUU